GACGAACGCUGGCGGCGUGCUUAACACAUGCAAGUCAAGGAGAAAGUUCCUUUCGGGGAAUGUGUAAACUGGCGCACGGGUGAGUAAUGUAUCGGAACGUACCUUUCAGUGGGGGAUAACGCAGCGAAAGUUGCGCUAAUACCGCAUAUUCUGUGAGCAGGAAAGCAGGGGAUCGCAAGACCUUGCGCUGAUUGAGCGGCCGAUAUCAGAUUAGCUAGUUGGUGAGGUAAAGGCUCACCAAGGCGACGAUCUGUAGCGGGUCUGAGAGGAUGAUCCGCCACACUGGAACUGACACACGGUCCAGACUCCUACGGGAGGCAG
rnacentral:rRNA from 1 species